CAAGGUCUCCUCUCCCUUUAAAAUAUGCUGAUUCUAUCUUUGUAUGUUUUCCCAGGAAACUGGAUUUUGAAGUUCCUAAAAUAUUUCUCUAAUAAAAAUCAAAGAGGACUAUUAUAACGAAGAUCUCAGCAUUUUGUCUGAAGGUACAAAGUUUGUCUUAGGCGUGAUAAUCUUGUAUUUCAAGCAAGCAACAAUAAGAAAAGUGUGGUUAAGGAGGUUACUGUACUUUAAAAACAAACAUAUAUGUAAAAUCUCAGCAGAAAGUGGGAUGCGAAAAAGAUUUCAAAGAUAGGUAAGUGAAGGAUAAGGCAAGGAAGUUGAACACCACAACAUAUUUUUCCUGUUGGAAGACCAUCUGCUGAGUUUCUGAACAUGAGAACACAGCGGGAUUUGAAGGAUCUAGAAUAAAUGAAGCGAAAGGAAUGCUGAGAAAUCUUUAGACAGAGCAUUUCCAGACAAAGCGAGAGGAAGUCAUGUGACCUGUCCUUCUGGUCCGACAAGAGUAUGUGGGUAGACUGUUGAGGGUUUUCUGGAUGGAAAGAUGUGAUUUGAGGACCACAGAGAGCCUCACGGCAAGGGGCUGAGGAAGAUGUUGGGGAAUGCAGGAGUCUGAGCACCAUGGAGCCACACGGGUGCACAGAGUGUGUCCUACAUCACACAGGAUGAAGCAGCAGAAUUCUAAGUGAAUGAAAUAUGGAACAUGAGACUUUUGCGAUCUCCGUGUCAUUUGCUUCUUCUGUUCCUUCCCACACAUGAAGACAAUGAGGCUCCCAGAAGUUGGGGACUUUACAAAGCAAGGUCUCCGGUGACUUGUCUCAUGGAAGCAGCCACUUCAUGGGGCUUUCUGUCUUGGUGCGAGUAGAGAAUGACCUAGAUGAUCUCCAAGGUCCUGUUGUUGCUGACAGUAUCAGAUGAUUGGAGGUAAGAAAACAGAGGCAGUUUUCCCUCUUACAUCAGAGAGACUAGAUCCUCUAACGCGGUUGUCUGUGUUUUAAGAUUGGAAGAUUAAAAAGUUGAUCUUUUAGAAGUUGAGAGUACAGCGAUGGUUACCAGAAACCAAGGAGAGUACAGAGAAGGGAGAAAUGAGAAGUUGAUCAAUAGGUACUAAGUUACAGUUACAUAAGAAUAAGAAGUUCUGGUGUGCUAUCACAUAUAAUAAGUAUGGCUAUAACUAAAAAUGUACUGGAUAUUCUAAAAAGCUAGGAGAAACUAUUUAAUUUUUU
rnacentral:lncRNA from 1 species